CAGUAUUGUGGGAUGUGGCUCCGGAAAGAAUGAAAACCAGAAAAGUUUGUCUUUGCACCGGUUACCAAGAAGUGAAAAUAGAAAAGGAAAAUGGUUAGAAGCAAUUGAAACUGAAAAUAUCAAGCCAAAUGUAAAGGAUAUAUCAUAGUAUGUUCCCUACAUUUCCCCGAAAGUGCUUUCAAUAGAACAAUGGAUGUGAUUAGUCUGCACGAUGAUGCUAUACCAGUAUGUUUGCCGCUGCAUUCACACAGGGUACCGGUUGAGCCUCAAAUCCCGAACUCAAAAAUGAACAGAGUGAAUCCGAGUGCAUCACCGGCUGCACGAAAUAGUUUAGUUCUAUAAUUAUCUCUGUUAUUAAGUAAUUAUUGUUUUUUUUUUUCUA